GUAGGGAAUCUUGCGCAAUGGGCGAAAGCCUGACGCAGCCAUGCCGCGUGAAUGAUGAAGGUCUUAGGAUUGUAAAAUUCUUUCACCGGGGACGAUAAUGACGGUACCCGGAGAAGAAGCUCCGGCUAACUUCGUGCCAGCAGCCGCGUUAAUACGAAGGGGGCUAGCGUUGCUCGGAAUUACUGGGCGGAAAGGGCGCGUAGGCGGACAGCUUAGUCAGAGGUGAAAGCCCAGGGCUCAACCUUGGAAUUGCCUUUGAUACUGGCUGUGUUGAGUUUGGGAGAGGUGAGUGGAACUCCGAGUGUAGAGGUGAAAUUCGUAGAUAUUCGGAAGAACACCAGUGGCGAAGACGACUCACUGGCCCAAUACUGACGCUGAGGCGCGAAAGCGUGGGGAGCAAACAGGAUUAGAUACCCGGGUAGUCC
rnacentral:rRNA from 1 species